rnacentral:rRNA from 1 species
CAGUCGCCGCGGUAAUACGAAGGGUGCAAGCGUUAAUCGGAAUUACUGGGCGUAAAGCGUGCGUAGGCGGUGAGUUAAGUCUGCUGUGAAAUCCCCGGGCUCAACCUGGGAAUGGCAGUGGAUACUGGCAAGCUAGAGUGUGUCAGAGGAUGGUGGAAUUCCCGGUGUAGCGGUGAAAUGCGUAGAGAUCGGGAGGAACAUCAGUGGCGAAGGCGGCCAUCUGGGACAACACUGACGCUGAGGCACGAAAGCGUGGGGAGCAAACAGGAUUAGAUACCCCAGUAGUCCCUGUCUCUUAUAC